ensembl:lncRNA
CUAAAAGUAAACUAAAAAUGCCUUCUACACGUCCACCUUCUCCUACCUCCUCCCCCUCAGCAGUGCAGGUGAAUGAAGAAUGGGGGCUGCAGCCAGUCCAUAACACUUCAUCUCUGCCAUUCCUUCAUGGCUGCUCUGCCCCCGCUCCAGCGUAGGGUCCGUCCCACAGAUGCUUAUAUUUGUGAAUGUCAAUCUACUGAGAGAGGUUUUCCUUUCCCUUGCCUUCUUUACUGGAUACUGGAUGAAGGGAAAUCUCCAGGUUCAAAGAAUCACAGAAUAGUCAGAAUUGGGAAGAACCCACAAGGAUCACUGAGUCCAACUCCUGGCCCCACAUAGGAUCACCCAAUAUUUAAACCCUAUGUCUGAGAGCAUUGUCCAAACUCUGAGAGCAUUCUUGAACUCUGGCAGGCUUAGUGCCAUUACCAUUUCCCUGGCAUGCCUGUUCCAUUGUCCAACCACCUUCUCAGGGAAGAAUCUUUUUCCCAGUACCCAACCUGAACUUCCCCCCCUCCUUUGGGGCUCCAUGAAGAAGAGAUGCCACUUCUUCAUGAGGGCUGGGAGAUGGAAAAGAAGGGCUUACACAACCAUCAACAAUCACCAAAAGAAUGGUUUAUUGCUGGGUGAUCUGACACGUGAGCCUUUAAGAUGUCCAUAUUGUUUGUCGUGUCCAAGUUAAUGAGGGGAACAGAGAUUGACGCAGACAGCAAGCUGAUCUGGUGUUCCUGCAGUUCUAUUGCCCUGAUUUUGUAUCAGAGAGACAAGGCACUCUGGGGAUGAUCAUGAAUCCCACAGGUAGACCCACUUCCAUCAGUUCUCUAUCUUGUUGUGGAUCUACCUCCAUAAACUCCUCAUUCUCUGGUGGACGGACUUACCUGGGCCCCUUGCAACUCACUGGAUGAUUGGUGUGCCUUAGCCACAUGCUUUUCUCUGGGCAACAGACAUGCUUGGGCCUAAUGCUGUUGUUCUCUGUCGGAUCCAUGUUCAUGACCUGCACACCACUGGUCACAUGAACACCAGCCACCACAUUUGUGGCUUCUUGUUCCCUCGUUUGGAGGAAGAGCUCUCUAGUCUGAUUGUAAGAACCGUUAGUAGCACCAGACUGGGAGCCUGCAGAUGGAUUUCCAAGGAGCAGCUCUUGGCCUUCCAAGGAAUCUGCCAGAAGAUGGCACUAAGGCACACGAAGGAGACAGUGAUGUCUAGGAACAUCCUGUUUUGUUCUUUUAGGUUCAGAUGCCUCCAUGGACAGAAUCUGAAACCCCUUUGGAUACCUUUUCUGUUUGGGCACCCUCGUAGGGACCGUGUUUUCAUUAGCUUCAAAGGAAUAGCUCUCUCUUUUUUCAUUGACCUGCUGCUGUUCUUUGUGCACCACCAUGGAAGGUCUGGCUUCACCUUCCAGCACUUGCUGGGUAACAUUCUCAUCUUCAGGCUGAGACACCCCACCUCUAGGACUCAAGAUCCACAGGAGCUCUCUGAGGGGGUCCUCCUGUAGACACAGUGAAGCAGCCAAAAACAAGCCAAGUUCACGUUUGCCUGCUUCCUUGGGAAUCCAUGCAGAAGAGAUGCUGUCUCUUCACAAGGGGCAAGGACAGGGGAUGGGAAAGGAGGCUAUCCUGCACGCAAGCCCACUGGAUGUUAACGAUGGUCUCCCAGCUAAUUCUGGGCACAGAGGCUGCAGAGCGGGUAAGGAGCUGAGUACCUGGACCCUCAGUGCCACUGCUGUAACCUCACUCUGGCACAACGAUAUGCCAAGCCAGCUGUAGUGGAGGUCAAUCCACCUCCAUUGGUUCUUCAUCUGGAGUUUAUCUAUCUCCAUGGACUGCAAAACAGUAGCCCCAGGCCAGGCCAUUGCUCUAUGGGCACAGGUGCUCUUCCUCUUCCAUUUGUUCUGCUUUGUUGAGUCUCACCACCUCUUCGGUUCUGGGAACCCAAUCUCUUUCUUCCCAUGUAAAACUGGGCAACCAGUGCUCCUGAUUGGUGCUGGUAACCACCAGGCUCUUGGUAUUAGCCAUGGUUGUUUACCACCAUAGGUCUUGGAGCUGAAUGAGUGGGAUGGGGCAGUGGUGACUACUGUGACACCAGUAAGAUUCUGUGAUGGCCACCGUGAUGGUGGGAGUGGUUUCGGCAUGGGGUAAAAAGGGGCUGGAAGACAGGGCACAGGAUGGGAGGUAGAAGGCAGCCCCUGUGCCCAGGGGGCAGUCUUUCUCUCUGGCAAGCAAAAAGGCAUAGAGGAGCCAUCACCAAGAAAAGGGUCCUCUGCCUCCUUGACCCUCUUCCUUCUUCCACAAGGGAAUCAUUCAAGGCUGGGACACACAGCAUAUAAUGGCAGGCUCAGAGAACUCCUUUGGCCAGCACAGGGAAGAGGCUCAGGAGUAGAGCUAAUUGGCAGACCAAAGCCACGGCUUCCAUGUUAGUAUCUAGUGCCUCUUCUUCUGUGUUUUUCUUGUUGUUGUUUGUUUGUUUGUGUAUGUGUGUGUUUCUUUCCAGUUAAUAGUUGAUUUUUUUUUUAAAUAGAUAAGGUGGAGAAUAAGACAUAAUAAUAUGAGAUGAGGAGUAAGAUUUAAAAAUUCCCCAUAUACUGAAAGUGACAAAGAUGUUCUAACAACCAAAUUCCCUUUCUUCCCCAGGUCUGGUAACAUUUCUUCAGCACCACUGAGAAAACUGUACUUCUUUGCCUCUUUGAGAGACAAGAUUUGUGAUGGAAACAGUGUUGGUUCAGUUGAUGCUGAACAGUGCUUACAAAAAAGCAAGACCUUUUCUGCUCCUUACACUGCCCAGACAGAGGAAGGCUGGGGACGCACAAGAAUUUGGGAGGGGACAGAAUCAGGACAGCUGACCUCAAGCGACCAAAGGGAUAUCCCAUACAACGUCAUGCCCACUGGUAAAGCUGUGGGAGAUUUUGCCAGGAUUUAUAUGACAUCAGUGAGUAGGUGCUGAGCAACUGCCUUUCACAUAACUUGGUUUUCUAGGUUUUAUUGCUGUUUUCAUUUUUAAUUAUUAAA